GGGUUGUGAGGUUAAGCGACUAAGCGUACACGGUGGAUGCCCUGGCAGUCAGAGGCGAUGAAGGGCGUGCUAAUCUGCGAUAAGCGCCGGUAAGGUGAUAUGAACCGUUAUAACCGGCGAUACCCGAAUGGGGAAACCCAGUGUGACUCGUCACACUAUCAUUAACUGAAUCCAUAGGUUAAUGAGGCGAACCGGGGGAACUGAAACAUCUAAGUACCCCGAGGAAAAGAAAUCAACCGAGAUUCCCCCAGUAGCGGCGAGCGAACGGGGAGGAGCCCAGAGCCUGAAUCAGCAUGUGUGUUAGUGGAAGCGUCUGGAAAGGCGCGCGAUACAGGGUGACAGCCCCGUACACAAAAGCGCAUGUGCUGUGAGCUCGAUGAGUAGGGCGGGACACGUGGUAUCCUGUCUGAAUAUGGGGGGACCAUCCUCCAAGGCUAAAUACUCCUGACUGACCGAUAGUGAACCAGUACCGUGAGGGAAAGGCGAAAAGAACCCCGGCGAGGGGAGUGAAAAAGAACCUGAAACCGUGUACGUACAAGCAGUGGGAGCACCCUUUGGGGUGUGACUGCGUACCUUUUGUAUAAUGGGUCAGCGACUUAUAUUCUGUAGCAAGGUUAACCGAAUAGGGGAGCCGGAGGGAAACCGAGUCUUAAUUGGGCGUUAAGUUGCAGGGUAUAGACCCGAAACC
rnacentral:rRNA from 3 species